rnacentral:lncRNA from 1 species
GAGACGUUGUGAAUUGUGAUGUUUAGAUUGCUUUAUGAGAUUGAGAAAUCCAUUUGGCAAUUGGAAUUUUGAAUAGCAAGAACUGGUUAAUAAUCACUUAGAGAUAAGGAUAGUUAACUAGCCGGAUUAAGAAUUAACAAAGCUUAAUAGAGGCGGAUUAAAGCUUAAUGCUAAUUUAAGAAUCAAUUGUUAGGAAGAGAUUCCAACUUU